rnacentral:rRNA from 1 species
AACAUAACCUUUAGCCAAACAAAUAUUAAAGGCAACGCCUGCCCAGUGAACAAUUAAACGGCCGCGGUACCCUAACCGUGCAAAGGUAGCAUAAUCAUUUGUCUACUAAUUAUAGACUUGUAUGAAAGGCAAAAUGAGGGUCUGACUGUCUCUUAUAAUUAAUCAAUUAAACUGAUCCCCGGGUAAAAAAGCCCGGAUACCGCCAUAAGACCAGAAGACCCUGUGAAGCUUAAACUAAACUAUUAAACCCCAUAAUAGCUAAUUUCGGUUGGGGCGACCUUGGAAAAAAAGAGAACUUCCAACAAAAUGACCUCCCUCACACCAAACAGGCCUACAAGCCAAUAAAUGACCCAGCACAGCUGAUAAACGAACCAAGUUACUCCAGGGAUAACAGCGCAAUCUUCUUCAAGAGCCCAUAUCAAAAAGAAGGUUUACGACCUCGAUGUUGGAUCAGGACAUCCUAAUGGUGCAGCCGCUAUUAAGGGUUCGUUUGUUCAACGAUUAACAGUCCCACGUG